CUUUGGGCAAGUUAUUUAACCUCUCUAUGCCUCAACUUCUUCAUGUAAAAUGGCAGUAAUAAUAAUACGAAUGCCACAGAGCUGUGGAUGAAAUGAGCCCAUUCCGGUCUGGCUUCUUUAACCAGGAAGAUGUGAGCUGAGAGCUGUGGAGUAGAUGUCUUCACCAGAUGAGUACACAGAGAAGUAGAGAAUGUGUAUCUGCAGAGUAGGAUGAAGCAGAGACAAGGUGGGAUGGGAGAGAGACAGGGGCUGCAGGACAACCCUACCAUCAAUACACCCAACAGUCGCC
rnacentral:lncRNA from 1 species